rnacentral:rRNA from 1 species
GAUGAACGCUAGCGGCAGGCUUAACACAUGCAAGUCGAGGGGCAACGACGGGUAGCAAUACCUGGUGGCGACCGGCGCAAGGGUGCGUAACGCGUGAGCAACAUGCCCUAUACAGGGGGAUAAUCCAGGGAAACUUGGUCUAAUAUCCCAUAGUAUUUAGAGGUGGCAUCACCACUAAAUUAAAGCUUCGGUGGUAUAGGAUUGGCUCGCGUGACAUUAGCUGGAUGGUGGGGUAACGGCUCACCAUGGCGAUGAUGUCUAGGGGUUCUGAGAGGAAGACCCCCCACACUGGGACUGAGACACGGCCCAGACUCCUACGGGAGGCAGCAGUGAGGAAUAUUGGACAAUGGAUGGAAAUCUGAUCCAGCCAUGCCGCGUGCAGGAAGACGGCCCUAUGGGUUGUAAACUGCUUUUCCCCGGGGCGAAUAACCCCCUCGCGAGGGGGGAUGCCGGUACCGGGGGAAUAAGGAUCGGCUAACUCCGUG